AUUGAACGCUGGCGGCAGGCCUAACACAUGCAAGUCGAACGGUAACAGGAAGCAGCUUGCUGCUUCGCUGACGAGUGGCGGACGGGUGAGUAGUGUCUGGGAAGCUGCCUGAUGGAGGGGGAUAACUACUGGAAACGGUAGCUAAUACCGCAUAAUGUCGCAAGACCAAAGAGGGGGACCUUCGGGCCUCUUGCCAUCGGAUGUGCCCAGAUGGGAUUAGCUUGUUGGUGGGGUAACGGCUCACCAAGGCGACGAUCCCUAGCUGGCCUGAGAGGAUGACCAGCCACACUGGAACUGAGACACGGUCCAGACUCCUACGGGAGGCAGCAGUGGGGAAUAUUGCACAAUGGGCGCAAGCCUGAUGCAGCCAUGCCGCGUGUAUGAAGAAGGCCUUCGGGUUGUAAAGUACUUUCAGCGGGGAGGAAGGGAGUAAAGUUAAUACCUUUGCUCAUUGACGUUACCCGCAGAAGAAGCACCGGCUAACUCCGUG
rnacentral:rRNA from 1 species